ACUUGAUGGGGGGGAGGGGGGGGUGGGGGGAAAUAUAGCAGUGAUUUGUAUGAAAUCGUAAAGAAUUAAAUAUGUUGUAAAAGCUAUUUUCGUAAAAUUAUAGAUUUUCAGGCUACAAGAAAAUUUAUCUAGUUCAAUCAAAUUCGACAGAGUACACGAAUGAUUUAUUGCUGCCAAACUUACCGAUCCAAACGAGGUAAGGUCUCCGAAAGUACAGCCUUUGGCCGAAUAAAAUCUGCGACAAUUCCGGUAACGUAGAACUGGCUAUUUUGGAAAUUGAAAUAAUCCAGCGUGCAACGAGCCCUCGCAUGACACUGGCCACCUGGGCUAACCCCACAUAUCUGACACCCCUCACUCUAUGGUCCAACCCCGUCGAAACUGCACGUUAUCUAAUCCUAACAUCCCAUCGGAGUUUAGGUACCCGCUACAACAACGGCGAUCAAAAUAAAGUUCUCGUAUGGAAAACUUUUUCCCUAAGAUAAUAAUACAAUCUCCGAACAAAUGGUUCCGAUCGGUUAACAAUAGCUUAUAUGUACAUAGUUGCCACAUAAGCUGAACGAUCAAUAUAAAGUUGUUGGAUGGAAAACCUUUUUAUUGAACAAGAUAUCUUCACGAAAUUUCGCAUCAAUUAUUCUCCGAGGCGACGGUACAAUUUUCGAAGAAACUGCGCAGAUUGAACCAAUAUAGCAUAUAGCUGCCAUACAAACUGAUCGAUGUCAAAACCAAGUUCUUGUAUGGAACCUUAGGGUGUAUAACGUAAUGCCGACAAUCAAAAUCUUGAAAUUUAGAAUGCCGACAGUCAAAAUACCGACAAAUCAAGAAAAGAUGGCAUUGUUCGUUCGAGACCCUCAGGAUCAUAACCCUUAGUCAGUAGAAUUCACUUUCUGUGCUUCGAUAGACAUAAGGGCAGACAAGAUAAAAUAUUUUUCAUAUGUCGGCAUUUUGGUUUGUCGGUAUUUUGAUUUUUUUUUUUGUUAUAAUUUAUCGGUAUUUUGAUUUUUUUUGUUAUAAUUUGCCGGUGUUUUGAUUUAGCUGCGUAUUUAAAUUUUGUCGGUAUUUUGAUGUGUCGCCACUUUGAAUUUCGGUAUUUUAAGUGUAUCCCGAAGCAUUAGUAUUCGCAAAAGGUAUUAAAGCUUAGGUGCAACCGAAUUUAACAACUUUUAAUUUUUUUAGCUACCUUUAUUUUAUAAAAAUAUUUUUUUGAUUUAGUUUCGCUGUCAAUUUAAUUACCAUUGCUUAUCUUUUUCAAGUUAUAUCUUUAAUUACAUAUCCUUAAAACUAUGUUAAAAGUAGUAUUUUAAAAAUUAAGUAAAUUAAGGUAGUUUGAUGGAUAAAUGUGAAAGAAUCAUUUUACGUUUAUAUGCAGUUGAAUUCAUAACAUAUUCGAUUUGCACAUCUUUACACUGCAUCUAAAUGGCUUUGUUGGCGCUCCACACCGGCAACUGCCAAUGACUCUUUCACAACGUAAAUCUACAAUAUUGCUGGUAAAUAAAAUUUAAUUGUAAUUAAA